rnacentral:rRNA from 1 species
GACGAACGCUGGCGGCGUGCUUAACACAUGCAAGUCGAACGGAAAGGCCCUGCUUUUGUGGGGUGCUCGAAUGGCGAACGGAUGAGUAACACGUGAGUAACCUGCCCUUGACUUUGGGAUAACUUCAGGAAACUGGGGCUAAUACCGGAUAGGAGCUCCUGCUGCAUGGUGGGGGUUGGAAAGUUUCGGCGGUUGGGGAUGGACUCGCGGCUUAUCAGCUUGUUGGUGGGGUAGUGGCUUACCAAGGCUUUGACGGGUAGCCGGCCUGAGAGGGUGACCGGCCACAUUGGGACUGAGAUACGGCCCAGACUCCUACGGGAGGCAGCAGUGGGGAAUAUUGCACAAUGGGCGGAAGCCUGAUGCAGCAACGCCGCGUGCGGGAUGACGGCCUUCGGGUUGUUAACCGCUUUCGCCUGUGACGAAGCGUGAGUGACGGUAAUGGGUAAAGAAGCACCGGCUAACUACGUG